AGGUUGUUCUGACAAGUCUGAUACAGUAAUGAUAUAACAAGAAUGUUACAAGGUUGACGACACAAGGUUGUAGCAACAUUGUUAUAUCAUGAUUGUAUUGGACUUGUUGGAACAACCU